rnacentral:lncRNA from 1 species
GGGUAAUUUUGACAACAUCAGAAAAAAAUACAAAAAAUACCUAACCCUAAACCCAUCUUUUUCUCUAGAGCCGCCGCCCCCACCCCGGUUGAGAAUUUUGUCUUCCCCCACAGAGUCGCUCACCCCCCGGAACCAAAUAACAGCAGCCCCCAUACACUUUUCGAUUUCCCUCUUUCUUGGCCCAAACCAGCCUCCACACAGUUCCCCGGAUUUUUCUAGCCAACAACACAGAGCCCCUCCCUUUUGGAUUUUCUUCUUCCUCAGCCGCUGGACGCAAGCCUCCCUUCUACCCUCUCUCAAGCUCUCUGAUUCCCCUCCAUCAAGCCACCAGCAGCAGCAGGAGUCCCCUUCACAACCUCCUCCCACCGAAGAACCCAGCGGCGGCCGGCAGCAGCAGCACCCACAGACGUCGUCCCCUUUCUCAUCCUCCAGCUAUCCUUUGCACAGACCGGCCUCUGGCGCUCCUUCCACGACCGCUGACAGAUCUUCCCUCUUCAACCGGCCACAGGCCAGGUCUCCGUCAUCAGCACAGACGCGACAGAGCUUCCCUCAUCGGCGCAGAUCGGCCUCCAGCAGCAACCCACGCGCCGCCCGUGGCGGAGGCGCGUGGAACAACGCGCCGCUACUGUUCCUGCGGUUCAGAAACCUUUUGGCAGCGUUACGGAAUUUAUUUUGUUACUUUUAGAAUAGUUGAAAUGUGUAUUUAAAUUAUUGUAAGCAUUUUAUAUUCUGUUUGGUACAUUAUGAACAUGUAAUUAUGGCAGUGUGAGUAAAAAUAGUAAAAAGUGAUGUGUGUGUGUUUUUGUAUUUUAUUUUAUAGAUGUUUUUUUAUUUAGGAUAAAAUUGCAAAGAAUAAAGAAGAAUUUAAUAUUUUGAUUUGUUCACGGAUAAAGAAUUAUGAACUUACACGUAAGUCGUAUUUCUAAAAUUCGAUGAAAGAACAAAAUUUUUAAAACUUCUUUAACACAUCAAGUCCAUGAAGCAGCUUACCUCAGGUAGGGUGCGUUAGGGGUGCUAAUACCUUUCCUAACCACAACCAGUCCAUUUCCUGUGAAUCUCUAACAAGACCAGUACAUCAGGUUUCCUAGUAGCCCUCAAUAAAUUACUAGGUGGCGACUCCAACGAACCAAAUCAAACCAAAACGCAUAACAAUGAAAAAUCGCCAGCCGACGCCGCACAGAUUUUUUUUGACGUGCGACAGAAUGGCGACUCCACUGGGGAAGGUACUGUUUCUGACAAUAUUGGACUAAGCUUUGUGUAUUUGAUGUGUUUAAGUUUUUGUAUUUUUGUCUUGUUUUAUUUUUGUUUUAUCCAUGUAUUUUUAGAAUUGUUUCAUGCAUCACCUGUAUUUAUUUUUUAAAGCACACACAAGCUUCUAAGUUACGUGGUGAAUUAGCGAUCUGCCCUAUGACUAUUGGUCAGGGUUCAGAUGCGUGAAAAAACGAACUCAUAUCUGAGUGCCUGCUUGGUAAUGGUGGGUAGACGUACCUUAACUAUUCCUUGCAACGCCCCCACACUGUCUUUACGAAGAACGUCACUGGGCAGAUAUGAGACCCUUUUGAGACCAGGUAGAAAACCUACCCAUGUUCACAUAAUGAAUAGAACCUGCCUUUAGGAUGUGUGCUCCGUAUACAUUGUUUUGCAUAAGGGCAAACCCUUCUUGAAGCAUCUUGAACUCAAGACUUGUGGGUGACCCAAUGGCCGUCACUCAUAAAAUUUUCAUUGUAGAGUUUGGGCAAGAAUCAAGAUUCUUGUUUCAUCAUACAAGAGUUACGACCAUAUGUCACCCCUCGAAGGGCGAGUUCAUCAUAUAGUUUACAUGUUCAUACAUUUAUCAUGCAUGUACCGGGUUAAAAGAUAGGUUCCCCCACACAAGCUGUGUUCCACGUGAUUGAAAAAAAAAAGACGAUGGAAAUGAAGAAAGAUGUCAGAGAGAGGCACAGAGUCAAAAGAAAGUUGAGAGCAUCAAAGGGGAAGUAGCUAGGCUCAGAUCUGCCUGAACAAGUGUAGAGCAUCAAAUGGAAAGGGAAUGUCUGCACAGUUUUCUGUGGGAACGCCGCUCGUCCACGUCCCAUUGAAGCUGCACCUCCUUUUCAGUCAUGAACAACAACAAUGGCUUCAGUCAUCAACUAAUGACAACUUUUGUUCUUGGUCAGCUGCCCUGUUAAUCGUUAACCGCCUCCACAUCUUUCAAUGGCACCAAAUAACUGCUAGCCUUCUGUGCAUGGUGUGUUAGCCUUCUUUGACGUUACCCCAACUGUUAGCUCAAUUCCAGUUCAGCGGCACAAGAUGUAAAAAAAAAAAAGAGAAAAAAAACCCCGAAAAAAAAAACCAUGAUUCGACCCUGAACUUCUACGUUGCAGAGCUCUCUCUACAAAAAUACGUUCAUGGCUCUGCAAGUUGGGAAUGCAAGAAGGGAUUUAUUAGUUGCAUAUGCUAUAAAAAUCUCUCAUCAGUUUCAGCACAAAGACAUUGUGGUAGGUUGAAGAGCCAAACCUGGUCUGAAAAACAUGAACAGACAUCAAACUUCUACGUUGCAGAGCUCUCUCUGUAGAGAUUUGUUUGGGGAUCUGCCAGUGGGGCAUGCAAGAGGGGAUGCAGUAUUUUCAUAUGCUAUAAAACUUUGUCUCAUUAGUUUCAGCACUGAAACACUGGAGUAGGCCGAAGAGUCAGACCUAGUCUGAAAACAUGAGCAGUCAUCGAACUUUGACGUGGCAGAGCUCUCUCUAUAAAAACCCGUUUGUGGCUCUGCAAGUGGGGAAUGCAAGAGGGGAUGUAGUAGUUCCAGACAAUGUGAAAAGUUACCCCACCAGUUUCAGCAUCGAAACACUGUAGUAGGCAGAAAAGCCAGACUUGAGCUAGAAAACAGGAGCAAAUAUAGAACUUCACUGUGGCAGAGCUCUCUCUGCAGAAAUCUGUUUGUAGAUCUGCAAGUGGAGAAUCCAAGAAGGGAUGCAUUAGUUUCUGAUCAUCUAUAAUUUUCUCUCAUCAGUGUUAGCUUGAAAAUGCAAAAGUAGGGAGAAAAGACAAGCCUGGACUAAACAACAUGAAGAAGACUGAAACUUCAAUAGAGGAGAACUCCCUCUAGAGGUGUCUGUUUAUUGCACUGUCUGUGAGCAAUCGAAGAGGAGACAAAGAAGUUUCAGAUUCAUCAGUUUCUCCUCCAAUAAAAACAAUGCAUCAUUUCACACAUUGAUAGUGAUAGCGCUGCAUGAUUCUAUGCGCUGGCAAGAUUACCUAGCUGUUGGAAGGUUUCCAACAAUCCACAAACGACCACAACAACAUGGGAAGAUUGACAUGAUGUUGUGAAGAUUGCCAAAAGAAUUGAGCUAGCUGUCAAGAUGGGAAAGAUUGAAGGAUAUGCCAUGGAUUCCAGAACUGUGAAGAGAUGAAUCAGGAGAUGACUCUGAAGACGGGAAACCAUAGUUAUGUGGUUUAGUCAAGUCUCACAAAGCACCAACUACUCCAAUGUCUUUGCCAAAGAUAGACAUUCCUUUGCCAUGUGGGUUUAUUUACUAGCAUCUGCCAGAUUCCAGACUUAAUGCCUGACUCCGACAAAACCCAUGCAACCACCAUUUUCUAGGUGGUAUAAUCCAGACAAGAGAUGUGAUGUCAUGGUGGGGUCCUCAGCCAUUUCAAUUGAACAAUUGCAAGAAUCGAGUCCGGAAGUUGGUGAGCAAAAGACAAGAGGAAUCUGGGAAGGAGCUUGUCAUCGAUCAUUUUAUCGCCAGAACAUCCUCAGAAUGACGAGUGAUCGGAAUUGCUUGGCAAAACAGAGAUAUUGCCAAAGAGGCUGAUCUAAGAAGGGGUUAAACUGUCAAUCAUUUUUGUUAUGGAUUUUGUCAUCUUGCAUUUUGUUUUGGGGUCACAUCUCAUCCUUGAACAAAACAUGUCUUUCCUUUGUCUUCCUGUUGUUUUGAAAUCAAGAGAUGCUUCUUUCAAAAGGUAUUUUGACAAAAUAUGUUUGAUCAAACUCCAACAUGCAAAGUUUAAUCAUGAACAUUAAAAGUGUUUUGAUUGCAGAAAUGACUUGAUGCUUGAAAAUGACAUGAGGUGACCAAACAAUUUUGAACUCAUACCUCCUGAAACUGAACCACACAUCAUAUAGCUAGUUUUAGCAGUAUGCAUAAUGACAUGUAGUGGAUUCAAUAGUUAUGGACUCGUGAAUCAUGACUCUUACAAGUCCAAAUCAUUACAUUGGAUGAGGUCAAAAUUUAUCGAUUCUAACCGACCUUGCUUGAAAUGAGAAAAGGCCAUCUUUGUUAUCCUUUCACAUUUCUUGAAAUAUUAUCCCUUGCAGUCCCAUUUUGAGCCUGGUAAAAUAUUUUCUUUCAAAAAGAAACCUUGACUAGGAUCACACCCCACACUGGGGGCAAUGAGAGAUAUGGUAUUAGGAAGGAUAAAGACACUGGUAGAAUCAAUGAUAAAAGAAAGGCUUAGAAUAAAAGCCCAAUGAUUGAGAAAGGGAGAACAAGAAAAGCCAUAGAUUGAGGGCCAUCCAAGAAAACUUUGAGGAAGGUUAUGUAAAAAAAAAAAAGUGGAAAUGAAGGAGAAUGCCUAUCAAUUCUAAGAGGGGCAAAAAAAGGUUUCAAUGGAAGAAAGACACAACAAAUGCCAAAAGUCAACACCAAAAAAAUCAAGUUUCAUGUCUUUUGGUGUGUCUAGGAUAAAGCCUUUAGUGUCUUCAAAAAUUUUUAGAUUCAUUAUUCAUCAGAGAAAGUUGGAUUUGCAAUAUGACCUAUGUUAAGAGAAUUCUGAUAUUUGAGAUUAACAAGGUUAUAUGUCACUUUCUCUACUAUGACAACAAGAGAAAGAGAGUUGAUGAAUAGUUGAUGUUGAUCCUAGGUCUUUGAAACCCUCAAACACCUUUUGAGCCUGAAUUUUCCUUUCUUUCAUAAGCCAUGAACCAUAGCCUGCAUUACAUGCUUUUAAAAGCCCUUUUUGAUCAAGUAAACAAUCAGAACCGAUAAAUGGCGCUCUCGAAACUUGAAGAGCUUUUCCAUAAGGGUCGUGACUUCAUGAAUUAAGCUAUUGGUUAUUAUGCAUGCUGAUAAAAUAAAAGCUCAAAAAGAAACAACCUCUCUUGAUAAAGCCUGAGAUUUGACUUGAGUCUUGUUUUUGAAAUUCACAUAAAGGUCACCUCAUCACAAACCAUCAAAAGAUAUACCCCAAAAUCAAAGUCUAAAAUGGAUACAAAGAACCAUGAAAAAAAAAAAGCCAUUUGUCUUACAACGGGUCAAUUUCUGUUUUCAAAAUACAAGACAAUCAAAGGACUAUAUUGAAUAGUGUGUGUUGGGUCUUUGACUAAAAAGCUUGAUUUUCAAAAGAUCUUUUCCAAAACUGAUAUCUCUUUGAUUUCAUUUCAACAAAUAGACUUGAAUUGACAUGAUCUUUGAAAUAUGAGAGUUGAUUCCAGAACAAGAAAGAUUGUUAAACAACAAGAACAUCGACCGAAUUUGCAAAAUCCUUGACAAGAAUGACAUCAACAUUUCUCGACACUCCUUGAAAAGUUGACCACCUGGAGGCAAUACAGUGGAUCAUGGGUAGGAAAACAAGCAGUAUUUAGAUCAGCUGGGGGCAAUUAAAGAUGAUCAAAUGAUGAAUCAAUGCACUAAGGACAAUGGUGUUUAAAGAAAGCUAAUCAGCAGAACAAGCAUUCAGAUAAUUACUGGGGGCAAUGUUGUUCAAAGACAGUUAGUGAUUUAGUGAACUUCAGCAGCAAUUGAUGAGCAAUGCUGCACUUGAAGGGCAUUUUAUUAUCGUCAACUUGGGUUACCCUCUAAAACAUGGCUAUGACUCCUGACAGAUGUUAUCAAGUGAGUGCAUUUGAAUGAACAUCUAACAUAUGCACGCCACCAAGACGGACGGUGGAUCAAAGCUGCACUUAAAGAACAAUCUCAUAUUGUCAUCUUUUGAAACAUGGUUAUCAACAGAUGUUAUUGCAUAGUUGCAUUGGAAUGAAUGUCAGAAAGAUGCACACCACCAAGACUGACUGUGGGACCAUCUAUUUUGGAGCUCAAAUGCGCACUUCACCAUAUGAAUAUGGGUGAUAACAUGAGCAUCAUUGAUGAUGUCAAGACAUUUCUUUCCACUAUCUGAUUUGACAAGCUGAGAGAAAUCCAUGAGAAAGAACAUUGAGCAUACAACGAUGAGUCUUUCACUGCAAGCUAUGAGAUGCAUGUCUGGACGACUAGAUCAUUUCCAUGAAGACUGGUGAUAACAUAUACUUGAAGAGUAUUGUUUCAACUGGGGGCAAGUUCAUGACUGAUUAACAAUCUUGAUGGGUGUUGGCAUGAUGCACACAACCAAUCGAAAGAUAAUUUUCAGAAGAAUCCAGGAGAGAAAAUCCUUCAUGAUGAAUCAAGCAACACCGCACUUGGGGGCAGAGUCAAGCUUGAUAAACAACAAGAGCAGUAACCAUCGAAGACAGCCCAGGAUGUGCACUGCACUUACAACUGAGUGGAUGGCUAGCACAUAAAUGAGCCAAUGCAUUGAAAGAACCAAUAAAGCUUUGGAAUGCAAACAAAGGCACCCUAUGACGAUGGAUCAUCAAAGGGGAGGGCCUAUAUUUCACAUCAGGUAAGGAUGCAUGCAUGUCAUCUAACCUCAAAGCAUUGCACAUACUUGUGAUUUGUUACAGAAAGAUCCUCAAUGAAGUCCAGCAAGAUUGUGGACAAAGAAAGAAUCAUUGAGUUGAUAAUAACAGAGAAUCAUGGUUGUGACCUUGAAACGGGAAGAAGAUGGGAUAAACCUUACUGUUAGGAAAAUCUCAAAGAAAUGAAAAGAUCAACCUUGCAAUCAGGAAGCAUCGAGUUUUCAAACCCUGCGAUCAAGAAUUAUCAAGAAGCACCAAGUUUUCCGGCCCUUCUUCUAUCAUCCCUUCAGGACUUCGCCAGGUAAGUCCCAUUUUUCACACUUGUCACAUCACAUCUUUCAUUUGGGUAGGUCACCCAUAACAAUGAGACCAUUUCAUAUUUUUUCUAUCCUCCACAUGGGUAGGUCACCCAUAAUCAAGAGACCACUUCAUAUUUUUUUUAUCCUCCACCUGGGUAGGUCACCCAUUACAAUGAGACCACUUCAUAUUUUUUCUAUCCUCCACCUGGGUAGGUCACCCAUAACAAUGAGACCACUUCACAUUUUUUCUAUCUUCCACUUGGGUAGGUCACCCAUAACAAUGAGACCACUUCACAUUUUUUUUAUCUUCCACCUGGGUAGGUCACCCAUUAUAACGCGACCACUUCACAUUUUUUCUAUCUUCCACCUGGGUAGGUCACCCAUAACAAUGAGACCACUUCACAUUUUUCUCAUCUUCCAUCUGGGUAGGUCACCCAUUAUAAUGAGACCGCACUUCACAUUUUUUCCAUUUGGGUAGGUCACCCAUCAUAAUGAGACCGUUUUCCACAUUCUUUCCACCUGGGUAGGUCACCCAUUACAAUGAGACCAUUUGUUCCACAUUCUUUGUUUUGGUUUAAUGAGGUCGCCAGAUGGGAUCUCAUGUAGCUUUGGUUAAAGGGAAUCGCCAGAUGGGAUUUCAGGUUGACCGAGUUACGUAACAUCUUUUGGUUUUGGUUUAAUGAGGUCGCCAGAUGGGAUCUCAUGUAGCUUUGGUUAAAGGGAAUCGCCAGAUGGGAUUUCAGGUUGACCGAGCUACCACACAUUUUUUAGUUCCAGUUGAAUGAGGUUGUCAGAUGGAAUCUCAUGUAGCUUUGGUUAAAGGGAAUCGCCAGAUGGGAUUUCAGGUUGACCGAGCUACACACAUUUUUUAAGUUCCAGUUGAAUGAGGUCGCCAGAUGGGAUCUCAUGUAGCUUUGGUUAAAGGGAAUCGCCAGAUGGGAUUUCAGGUUGACCGAGCUACACACAUUUUUUAGUUCCACUUUAAUGAGGUCGCCAGAUGGGAUCUCAUGUAGCUUUGGUUAAAGGGAAUCGCCAGAUGGGAUGUGAAGCCCGAGAAUAAAAUAUACAAAGAGGGGGGGUUUAUAAUAAUUCAAAAUGUUGUUAUAAUAUAAAAUAAAGCAAAAAAAAAAGGGUGAAAGAUGGGGCCAAAAUGGAAUUAACAAGAGAUGGGACUAUAAAUACCCAUCCCUUCUCUCAUCCAUGGCCGGCUGAUAAUAAGAAUAAGGAGGGGAGGAGAAUUUCAUAUUUUUCCUUCAUCAAAACUAGGAGUAAACACUUAAAAUUAGUAAACCCAAAUAAGCCUUGGAAUUAUUAAGUGGAGGAACACAAUCGGGUGGAAGAAUUAACAAGAAGAAAAGUGAAGAGUUGGUGAAGAAAAGAGGGGGAAGAGUGGCUGACUACAUACAAGGAGAAGAAGGCUAAGAUUCUUCUAAAAAUUUGUGAAGUAAAGUUUAGAUUUCCAUCCAAGUAAGGAGUUCUAAUUCCAAUUUCUAUGAAAUCAACUUCAAUUUGAUUAGAAGUUUAUGCUUUUCUUGAAUUGGGAAUUAGGGUUCUUUAACAUAAAAUGUUGGGAAAAUGCAGAAAUGAGUGAGGUUUAAUGGAUUAGAAUAAUCUAAGUGCCUUAAAGAAGAAGAACAAAUGAGUGCAUAAAAGAGAGGAAGGGAACUUUUGGUUCCUUUGGGCACGUUCUCUGCUGGAUACUGCAGAGGGGAAUGAGAACGUAUGAUAUGCUUAAUUAAUUAAUUUGGUACAAGUGACCUUAAGAGGACAUAAAAUGAGACGGGAAUGCCAUGAAUAAAGGGAAGGGGCUGUGACUGAUGAAGAAGCAGGGAUUUAAGAUGAAAUGGAGAUACUUUCUCCAUUAGCAAAACAGGGCAGGUUCGCUGCCCUGUCUUCUGGGGGGAUUUUGGACCUGAAAACUACAGAAUUCAGGGAGGGUCCCCUCAUAGAAGUUGUAGCCGGAAGUGUUAGCUUUCCAACGAAUUGACCCCACCUAAUUUGGAGUCCUAGAACUCCAGAUACAAAUAAAAAACUGAGGAGAGGUCAAGCUGCCACCCCUGUUGGCAGAUUCGGCCAAGUUGAUAAAACGGCAAAAUUUAGCCAUAUUAAGGGUAGAAUUUGUUUUCUUGCCCUUCAUAAAGUGUGUCUUGAUCUUCAAAAAGAAUAAACGGUAAUCAAAAUUGAAUUUAUGAUGUUCACUUAGACUACAAAUGAGCUGAAAAGUUAAAGGAUAAUAAUGAGGAGUGUAAGUGAGAAAGAAAAGAUUUGGUAAAAGAGAAAUGAAUAUUAUUUCCAUUGUUGCUGUUGCGUUUGAUAUGUGGACUAAUAUGGAAUAAUGAUGGGUGUUUGUGGUUUCAGGAGGAACCGCGGGAGGAGUACAGCAACCACAGGGGAACGCAAGUCGAGCAUCUACAGCAGGUAGGUACUUGGUACCUAUAUCUCCUCUAGUUAAUAAUUAUUUUCACUAACUUUUGAACUAUAAAAUUUUGGUGCUUAUUGAUGAGGAAAAGAAAAGGAGGGGGGGGGAGGAAGGAAAGGUUAAAUGACGAAAAAUAAAAUAAAAUGAAACGGAGGACUAGAUUUAAUUUAUGGGUUCUUUUGGAGUAACAACGAAUUUUGGUAAUGACUGUUUCUCAAAUUUGAUUUGUUUGUUUCUGAUAUGGGAGGCUGAUGAUGUUAACCAAGCUGGAUAACAUCAGCAUUACCGGUACGUGAAAGGAGAAAUAUAAACUUGAUUAACUAUUCGGUUUCAGAAUAGUUAAUGAUAUCGGCGGGUGACGUCGAUAUCGGCAAAAUUUAUAAACUUGAUUAACUAUUCGGUUUCAGAAUAGUUAAUGAUAUCGGCGGGUGACGUCGAUAUCGGUAAAAUUUAUAAACUUGAUUAACUAUUCGGUUUCAGAAUAGUUAAUGAUAUCGGCGGGUGACGUCGAUAUCGGCAAAAUUUAUAGACUUGAUUAACUUUCCGAGGUGGAAGCUAAUGAUGUCAAGAAUUUUUGACAUCGGCAUACCUGAGAACCUCCCAAGGUAAUAUGGAACAAUGAUUAACUAUUUUAGUUUUAAAAAAAAAAUAGUUAAUGACACAAACGGUUACGUUCGUGUCGGCAUUUUCAUGAAACUGAUUAGUUGUUCCAGGACGGGCAACUAAAGACACUAAUGGAGGCCAAUGGUGUUGGCAAUAGUCUUUCUGAUGUGGAGGGGGGGGAGAAGUAGUCAACAGAAAAAAAAAUAAAAAAAAAAGAGAGAAUUAUUAUAUAACCAUAAAAAGGGGUUUAUGAUUUAAGUAGAUAAAUAUGCUGUUUAAUUUUUCUUUCGUAAAUUGCUUGUAUUUUAAUCAUUUAUUUUUAAUUAUAUGGAAAAUUUAUAUUUUUGCAGGUCCCUCCCAUUCACGUCAGGAAUAGAUUUUAAGUUCUUUGAUCCCUUUUUGUAUAAGUUAAGAACUUAGGGAUUUGUGGUGUAAUUUUGUCAUGCAGUAAACAUGUAACCUGUAUAGAAUAUUAUAUUCGUAAUAUUUUGUUUCUGAAAUAUUAAAUGUAUCCACCUAUGCUUGGGAUAUUAGAAUGUACUAGACUAUGUUAGAAUAUUAAACUGUGUUGUGUUAUAUAUAUGCAAUCUUUGUGCUCGAAUUUGGCUAUUUUAAUUAUUAACUUAUGCGUGUGAUGUAAGAUGGAGUUUGGGAAUGAAUAUGGUCCUGAGCAUAAUCUGGAAUGAAUUAUGCAAUUGAUUGUGCUAAACAUGGAUGUGAUUGUGGAUGAGAUGUAAUUCUAAAUGUGUGCAGGGUACAUUGUCGAUAACUUGGGAUCUCCCGGUAUAGAGGAGACUCUGCCGAAAUUUCGUUAGAAAUUUCGGCGAGUAAAAAAAAAAAAUUUGCUCCAUCUACCCUUUAUAGGGGGAAGAUUAACGGAUAAACUAAUAGAAAAAUUGGGGUUGUUACAUGGGAUUUCAGGUUAACCGAGCUACCACAUUUUUUAGUUCCACUUUAAUGAGGUCGCCAGAUGGGAUCUCAUGUAGCUUUGGUUAAAGGGAAUCGCCAGAUGGGAUUUCAGGUUGACCGAGCUACGCACAUUUUUUAGUUCCAAUUUAAUGAGGUUGCCAGAUGGGAUCUCAUGUAGCUUUGGUUAAAGGGAAUCGCCAGAUGGGAUUUCAGGUUGACCGAGCUACACACAUUUUUUUUUAGUUUUGGUUUAAUGAGGUCGCCAGAUGGGAUCUCAUGUUGGUUCUGGUUAAAGGGGAUCGCCGGACGGGAUCUCAGGUUAGCCCAACCACACACACGAUGUUGGUUCUGGUUAAAGGGGAUCGCCGGACGGGAUCUCAGGUUAGCCCAACCACACACACGAUAUUGGUUCUGGUUAAAGGGGAUCGCCGGACGGGAUCUCAGGUUAGCCCAACCGCACACAGGAUAUUGGUUCUGGUUAAAGGGGAUCGCCGGACGGGAUCUCAGGUUAGCCCAACCACACAGGAUAUUGGUUCUGGUUAAAGGGGAUCGCCGGACGGGAUCUCAGGUUAGCCCAACCACACAGGAUAUUGGUUCUGGUUAAAGGGGAUCGUCGGACGAGAUCUCAGGUUAGCCCAACCACGCAGAUUUUGGUUUUGGUUCAAGGAGAUCGCCCGAUGGGAUCUCACACAAAAAAAAAGGAAAGAAAAAUGAAAAAGAGAGAAAGAAAGAAGAAGAGAGAAAGAAGGAAAGGAGAAGGAAAAAAAGAAAGAAACAUUUAGAGUUUUUCUUUACAAAGCUUACUAUGCGAAACAUUGAGGAAUUUUGCUUCGUAAGCAUUGUAAAGAGGGGGCAUCUGUUGCUACCCAAUUUUUGACCCAUGUUUUGAUAAAUUUUCAGAAAAAUCCAAAAAUAGCGAAAAAACAUUGAAAAAUCCAAAAAUAGCGAAAAAAUAUUGAAAAUCCAAAAAAUAAUUUUUUUAUACAUUUGUAUCGUUUUUAGCAUUUUUAGCAUCGUCUCAAAAGAAUUUAAAUUUUCAAAGACAUUUGGAACGCGUUCAACUUUUCACGCGUCAUUUUUUAAAAUCAUUGAUUUUCCGCAUUGAGUCGAUGUUGAUAUUUGCUCGCUUUCAAAAAUACAAAAAAAUAAAAAAAAUCAAAAUUUACAAAAAAAAAAGAGGAAAAGAGAAGGAAAGGAAAAGUUGAGGGACUAGUUUGAAAACCUAGUAAAACUUUUCCUAUAAAUACCAAGCUACACUGAUUUUUGAAGGGGGGUAAUUUUGACAACAUCAGAAAAAAAUACAAAAAAUACCUAACCCUAAACCCAUCUUUUUCUCUAGAGCCGCCGCCCCACCCCGGUUGAGAAUUUUGUCUUCCCCCACAGAGCCGCUCACCCCCCGGAACCAAAUAACAGCAGCCCCCAUACACUUUUCGAUUUCCCUCUUUCUUGGCCCAAACCAGCCUCCACACAGUUCCCCGGAUUUUCUAGCCAACAACACAGAGCCCCUCCCUUUUGGAUUUUCUUCUUCCUCAGCCGCUGGACGCAAGCCUCCCUUCUACCCUCUCUCAAGCUCUCUGAUUCCCCUCCAUCAAGCCACCAGCAGCAGCAGGAGUCCCCUUCACAACCUCCUCCCACCGAAGAACCCAGCGGCGGCCGGCAGCAGCAGCACCCACAGACGUCGUCCCCUUUCUCAUCCUCCAGCUAUCCUUUGCACAGACCGGCCUUUGGCGCUCCUUCCACGACCGCUGACAGAUCUUCCCUCUUCAACCGGCCACAGGCCAGGUCUCCGUCAUCAGCACAGACGCGACAGAGCUUCCCUCAUCGGCGCAGAUCGGCCUCCAGCAGCAACCUCGCUGUUUUUUUCAUCUUCCCCCCCCCCACCAGCCUUGCAGCGACGUCUCCUUCCCAUCACAGCAACGCCGCCUCUUCACUCACAACAUUGGGUCCUCCACGGCAGAUCUGUCACCGGGGAAGAAGAAAAGAAUAGCAGGCAUAAAACAAAGAUAAAAGCAGAUUUAGGCAAAAAAAAAUGGAUUGAAAUCAACAGUUUGUUGGGUUUUUGUUCUUCGUUGCAGGUCACUGUGACUCUCACCGCCGGCGUAGGAAGACAGGGGGGAAGAAGACAUUCCAGAUCCCCUGGUUUGUUUGGAGUUUCCAGCGGCGGCGCGUGAACCCAAGCGCCGCCCGUGGCGGAGGCGCGUGGAACAACGCGCCGCUACUGUUCCUGCGGUUCAGAAACCUUUUGGCAGCGUUACAUAAUUUAUUUUGUUACUUUUAGAAUAGUUGAAAUGUGUAUUUAAAUUAUUGUAAGCAUUUUAUAUUCUGUUUGGUACAUUAUGAACAUGUAAUUAUGGCAGUGUGAGUAAAAAUAGUAAAAAGUGAUGUGUGUGUGUUUUUGUAUUUUAUUUUAUAGAUGUUUUUUUAUUUAGGAUAAAAUUGCAAAGAAUAAAGAAGAAUUUAAUAUUUUGAUUUGUUCAAGGAUAAAGAAUUAUGAACUUACACGUAAGUCGUAUUUCUAAAAUUCGAUGAAAGAACAAAAUUUUUAAAACUUCUUUAACACAUCAAGUCCAUGAAGCAGCUUACCUCGGUAGGGUGCGUUAGGGGUGCUAAUACCUUUCCUAACCACAACCAGUCCCUUUCCUGUGAAUCUCUGACAAGACCAGUACAUCAGGUUUCCUAGUAGCCCUCAAUAAAUUACUAGGUGGCGACUCCAACGAACCAAAUCAAACCAAAACGCAUAACAAUG